rnacentral:rRNA from 1 species
GAUUAACGCUGGCGGCGUGCCUAACACAUGCAAGUCGAACGAGGUAGCAAUACCUAGUGGCAGACGGGUGAGUAACGCGUGGUCAACCUACCGUUGAGUGGGGGAUAACUAGCCGAAAGGUUAGCUAAUACCGCAUACGUCUCCGAGGGGCAUCCCUUGGCGAUAAAAGGAGCAAUCCGCUCGAUGACGGGACCGCGUCCCAUUAGCUAGAUGGUGGGGUAACGGCCUACCAUGGCACCGANGGGUAGCUGGUUUGAGAGAGCGACCAGCCACACUGGGACUGAGAAACGGCCCAGACUCCUACGGGAGGCAGCAGUGAGGAAUUUUCCGCAAUGGGCGCAAGCCUGACGGAGCGACGCCGCGUGUGGGAAGAAGGCCUUCGGUCGUAACCAC